GGCAGGAACGGGCCUCUGGGCCCCGGGGAACCACAGGGAAGCGGGGCGGGCGGCCUCAAAGCACGUGCUGAGGACGGUGGCGGCUCUGUCUGGCCCAGAGGAGCCGCACCAGCUCCCAUCCUCAGAGAGACCCCGGUGCCUCCAUCCCCAGAGAGACCCCGGUGCCCGGAUCCUCCGAGAGACCCCGGUGCCCCCAUCCUCAGAGACCCCGGUGCCCCGAUCCUCAGAGACCCCGGUGCCCCCAUCCUCAGAGAGACCCCGGUGCCUCCAUCCCCAGAGAGACUCCAGUGCUCCCCCAUCCCCAGAGAGACCCCGGUGCCCAGAUCCUCCAAGAGACCCUGGUGCUCCCAUCCCCAGAGAGACCCCGGUGCUCCCAUCCCCAGAGAGACCCCAGUGCCCCGAUCCUCAGAGACCCUGCUGCCCGGAUCCUCCGAGAGACCCCGGUGCCCCGAUCCUCACAGAGACCCCGGUGCCCUGAUCCCCAGAGACCCCAGUGCCCCCAUCCUCAGAGAGACCCCGGUGCCCCCAUCCUCAGAGAGACCCCGGUGCCCCCAUCCUCAGAGAGACCCCGGUGCCCCCAUCCUCAGAGAGACCCCGGUGCCUCCAUCCCCAGAGAGACCCCAGUGCUCCCCCAUCCCCAGAGAGACCCCGGUGCUCCCAUCCCCAGAGACCCGGUGCUCCCAUCCCAGAGGAUCCUCGAGACCCCGGUGCCUCCAUCGCCAGAGAGACCCCAGUGCUCCCCCAUCCCCAGAGAGACCCCGGUGCCCCCAUCCUCAGAGAGACCCCGGUGCUCCCAUCCCCAGAGAGACCCCAGUGCUCCCCCAUCCCCAGAGAGACCCCAGUGCCCCGAUCCUCAGAGACCCUGCUGCCCGGAUCCUCCGAGAGACCCCGGUGCCCCGUCACAGAGACCCGGUGCCUGAUCCCCAGAGACCCCAGUGCCCCAUCCUCAGAGACCCCGGUGCCUCCAUCCCCAGAGAGACUCCAGUGCUCCCCCAUCCCCAGAGAGACCCCGGUGCCCAGAUCCUCCAAGAGACCCUGGUGCUCCCAUCCCCAGAGAGACCCCAGUGCCCCCAUCCUCAGAGAGACCCCGGUGCCUCCAUCCCCAGAGAGACCCC
rnacentral:lncRNA from 1 species